CCCCCAGUAAGGGCGACUGAACGGGGAGGAGCCCAGCGCGGAACCUCGCGCGCCUCACCGGCUGCGUCUGAGGAAUGUCGCGUUCCGGAGGGGCCUUCUCCGACCACACCGACCCCCCCCAAGUCCGCUUGAACGCGGCCACUGCCCAUGGAGGGUGCGAGGCCCGUACGGGGAUUAGGAGUCGGGCGGUCGGACGGCCCCGUCCGUAGAGUCGGGUUGCCUACUAACGCAGCCCAAAGCAGGUGGUAAACUCCAUCUAAGGCU
rnacentral:rRNA from 1 species